GGGGAUUUAGCUCAGUGGUAGAGCACUUGCCUUGCAAGCACAAGGCCCUGGGUUCAGUCCUCA
rnacentral:tRNA from 1 species